GCAGCACCUCUUUACUUGGUGUCUCUAUUUCCCCAUUUCUCCCUCAGCCCCACCCUAGCAUCUUUCUUUCAUUGUGUAACAGACUGACCGUGCUGACAUUGCUCGCUCCACAAGCGACUACACAGCGAGGCGCGAAAUGGACGAGAGAGAGCGGGGGGAUUGAGGGAAGAGGGCGGCUGAGUAAGUGAAGGAAUAACGGUGUUCGGGGUUCCUUUCUUCUUUCGCCUUUUGCUUGAUUUCUUUAAAGACGGGAAUAUGAAAAACGAGACGAGGUCGCCCUUCGGGCUGUUCUUCUUUUUUCCCCUCCCCCACCUCCUUCCUAUGUGCAUAGCAGUUUGAAGUACAAUGGGCGAAAAUCAAGGUGAAACCGACACGUGCACAAACGGAAGAGAAGUAAGAGACAUCCGCGUGCGCUUUCAUGGCACUGCAGCAGUCUUGUCUUUUUCUGAGAGAGUGCUACCGUGUGCGUGCGCCGCCAUUCUCGUUUCCCCGCCGGUACCAUUGACCCGGCCGGCCACCUCGCCCCUCUCCACACCCACUUCCCUUUG
rnacentral:misc_RNA from 1 species